rnacentral:rRNA from 1 species
UGGGAUUCCUUUAGUAAUUGCGAAUGAACAAGGAUGUGCUCAGCUUGACAAAUGGAGUUUUUGAGCUUUGAAUUGUAAUUUUGCAAUGCAUCACCAGCGGAGGUACAGUUGCAAGCCUUUUGAAAGACAGCGCCAUUGAGGGUGAAAUUCCUUUUUGUCUUCUGCAACCUUUGUGCACGGUAUGUAUUUGGUGAAUCACAUUCCUCGGCAUUGGAAUGCAAAUUGGGUGGUAAAUUUCACGCAAGGGAAAAUAUAUUAUUGAGUCUGAUAAUGAACAAGUACCAUGAGGGAAAUAUGCAAAGGACUUUGAAAAGAAAAUUAAAAGAGCUUGCAUUUGCUAAACAGAAAACUAGCAGAAGUGCUUUAUCUUGGUAAGAUUGCUGCGCAUGGGUUUACUGUGUAAAUUGUAUGAGCAUUGGUUCUUACUUUGUGUGUCAAUUCCAUUGUCCAAUUUUAAUAUCUUUGCUCAUGAAUUGUGAAAUGCUUGCGGGUGUUAGAUUGCAUGUGCAUUCAUUAAUUUGGACUUGGUGCAGUGCUUGGCAACAGCUUGCAAUGUAGAGUGUGCGUGCAAUGUACAAUUGCGAUUGUCAGCUGUUGCCAACCACUUUUGUUGGCAAUGUGAUUCUGCUUGACCCGUCUUGAAACACGGACCCAAGGAGUCUAACAGAUGUGCAAGUUUCCUGGGGUGUGCACACCCCUGUAAGCUUAAUGAAUGUGUUUGCUGGGGAUAUGUGCACCAGCAGCUGACUGAUUAACAGACAGAGGUUUGAGUUUGAGCAUAUCUAUUAGGACCCGAAAAGAUGGUGAACUAUGCCUGCACAGAACGAAUCCAGAGGAAACUCUGGUGGAGGUUCGUAUUGAUACUGACGUGCAAAUCGUUCGUCAUACUUGGGUAUAGGGGCGAAAGACUAAUCGAACCAUCUAGUAGCUGGUUCCUUCCGAAGUUUCCCUCAGGAUAACUGGAAUUGCACAGUUUUAUCAGGUAAAGCGAAUGAUUGGAGGAAUUGGGGACAUGCUGUCCUUGACCUAUUCUCAAACUUUAAAUGGGUAAGCUGCAAUUGUUGCUUUGGUGAACUUUUUUCAUUCAAUGGCAACAUCAAGUGGGCCAUUUUUGGUAAGCAGAACUGGCGAUGAGGGAUGAACCUAACGUUGGGUUAAGGUGCUUAACUUCUUGCUCAUGAGAUACCAGAAAGGGUGUUGGUUCAUUUUGACAGCAGGACGGUGGUCAUGGAAGUUGAAAUCCGCUAAGGAGUGUGUAACAACUCACCUGCCGAAUGGACUAGCCCCGAAAAUGGAUGGCGCUCAAGAGGGUGACUGAUACCCAACCACUGUUUCAAGAUUGAACAGUGUGUAGGAGGGCUUAGCCAUUUGUGUGGCAGCCAUUAG